rnacentral:rRNA from 1 species
GACGAACGCUGGCGGCGUGCUUAACACAUGCAAGUCGAACGGAAAGGCCCUGCUUUUGUGGGGUGCUCGAGUGGCGAACGGGUGAGUAACACGUGAGUAACCUGCCCUUGACUUUGGGAUAACUUCAGGAAACUGGGGCUAAUACCGGAUAGGAGCUCCUGCUGCAUGGUGGGGGUUGGAAAGUUUCGGCGGUUGGGGAUGGACUCGCGGCUUAUCAGCUUGUUGGUGGGGUAGUGGCUUACCAAGGCUUUGACGGGUAGCCGGCCUGAGAGGGUGACCGGCCACAUUGGGACUGAGAUACGGCCCAGACUCCUACGGGAGGCAGCAGUGGGGAAUAUUGCACAAUGGGCGGAAGCCUGAUGCAGCAACGCCGCGUGCGGGAUGACGGCCUUCGGGUUGUAAACCGCUUUCGCCUGUGACGAAGCGUGAGUGACGGUAAUGGGUAAAGAAGCACCGGCUAACUACGUGCCAGCAGCCGCGGUGAUACGUAGGGUGCGAGCGUUGUCCGGAUUUAUUGGGCGUAAAGGGCUCGUAGGUGGUUGAUCGCGUCGGAAGUGUAGUCUUGGGGCUUAACCCUGAGCGUGCUUUCGAUACGGGUUGACUUGAGGAAGGUAGGGGAGAAUGGAAUUCCUGGUGGAGCGGUGGAAUGCGCAGAUAUCAGGAGGAACACCAGUGGCGAAGGCGGUUCUCUGGGCCUUUCCUGACGCUGAGGAGCGAAAGCGUGGGGAGCGAACAGGCUUAGAUACCCUGGUAGUCCACGCUGUAAACGGUGGGUACUAGGUGUGGGGUCCAUUCCACGGGUUCCGUGCCGUAGCUAACGCUUUAAGUACCCCGCCUGGGGAGUACGGCCGCAAGGCUAAAACUCAAAGGAAUUGACGGGGCCCCGCACAAGCGGCGGAGCAUGCGGAUUAAUUCGAUGCAACGCGUAGAACCUUACCUGGGUUUGACAUGGAUCGGGAGCGCUCAGAGAUGGGUGUGCCUCUUUUGGGGUCGGUUCACAGGUGGUGCAUGGCUGUCGUCAGCUCGUGUCGUGAGAUGUUGGGUUAAGUCCCGCAACGAGCGCAACCCUUGUUCACUGUUGCCAGCACGUUAUGGUGGGGACUCAGUGGAGACCGCCGGGGUCAACUCGGAGGAAGGUGGGGAUGACGUCAAGUCAUCAUGCCCCUUAUGUCCAGGGCUUCACGCAUGCUACAAUGGCUGGUACAGAGAGUGGCGAACCUGUGAGGGUGAGCGAAUCUCGGAAAGCCGGUCUCAGUUCGGAUUGGGGUCUGCAACUCGACCUCAUGAAGUCGGAGUCGCUAGUAAUCGCAGAUCAGCAACGCUGCGGUGAAUACGUUCCCGGGGCU